GAUGAACGCUAGCGGCAGGCCUAAUACAUGCAAGUCGAACGGUGUCUUCGGACAUAGUGGCGCACGGGUGCGUAACACGUAUGCAACCUACCUUACAUUGGGGGAUAGCCUUUCGAAAGGGAGAUUAAUACCGCAUAAGACAGUAGCUGGGCAUCCAGCAGCUGUUAAAGAUUUAUCGAUGUAAGUUGGGCAUGCGUCCAAUUAGCUAGGUGGUGAGGUAACGGAUCACCAAGGCAAUGAUUGGUAGGGGAACUGAGAGGUCAAUCCCCCACACUGGCACUGAGAUACGGGCCAGACUCCUACGGGAGGCAGCAGUAGGGAAUAUUGGGCAAUGGACGCAAGUCUGACCCAGCCAUGCCGCGUGCAGGAUGAAGGCGUUAUGCGUUGUGAACUGCUUUUAUACAGGAAGAAACGACUCUUGCGAGAGGCAUUGACGGUACUGUAUGAAUAAGCACCGGCUAACUCCGUGCCAGCCGCCGCAGUAAGAC
rnacentral:rRNA from 1 species